UUUUUUUUUUUAAGUUGCAAAGAGGUUUUUACUCCUCUGCUCCAAGGGGCAUUAGCAUCUGUAUUAGUCUCUUAGGGCUACUGUAACAAAUUGCCACAAACUGGGUGGCUUAAAACAGCAGAAAUUUAUUCUCUCGCAGUUCUAGAGGCCAGAAUCUGAAAUCAAGAUGUCAACAAGGCCAUGCUGUCUCUGAAGGCUCUAGGGGAGAAUCUGUUCCAUGACUUUCUCCUAGCUUCUGGAGUUGCUGGCGAUCCUUGGUAUUCCUUGUUGGUAUCACUUCAGCCUCUGCCUCCGUCAUCACAUGGCAUUCCCUCUGUGUGCCCCUUCCUCUUCUCGAAAGGACACCAGCCACUGGAUUAGGGCCCACUGUAAUCCAACAUGGCCUUAUCUUAACUUCAUUACAUCGGCAAGACCCUAUUUCCAAACGAGGUCAUAUUCACAGCAGGGGGUUAGGACUUGAACAUAUAUUUUUGGGGGACACAAUUUAACCCAUAACGGCAUCCAAGCACUUAUGUUUUCUUUUCUUUCUUUUUUUUUUUAGUAACCCCUCUUUAAACCAUUGUCGUUGUUAGGCGCCAUCAAGCUGAUUUUAACUCCUAGCAACCCCAUGUGACAGAGAAGAACUGUCCCAUAGGGUUUUAUAGGCUGUAAUCUUUAUGGGAGUAGAUUGCCAGUCCUUCCUCUUGAGGAGCCACUGGGUGGGGUCGAACCACCAACUUUUUGGUUAGCAGCAUAGUGCUUAACCGCUUUGCCAUCAGGGCCCCUUUUUAAACCAUUAAGUGUCUGAAAAGUGUUUUAAUUUCAUUUUUGCAGAAUAAAUCAUGUAUUUCAUAUUCUGAAAUGCCCACCAAGAAACACAUGUUGAAUUAUUUUGUUAAAAUAAAUACUAUUUUACUUUUUCCAAUUUUUCAGUGUAGCCAUUGCUCAAAUUAUAAACAUGUUACUUGUUAUUAUUUGGUGGGUCUAAAGAGAUUACGGGUUCCCUCUUAAUUCUUCAGUCUGAAAUGACUUCACUUUCUGGGGUUGUCAUUUUUCUCAGCAGCCACCAAGCUAUCCCAAGGAAUCGUGUAACUUUGUGCCUGGCAUAAAGACUGCGCGUGUUAACAUCUUUUUUCACCGCUGUUUUCACUUCCUCCCAGUACUAACCACAGUUCCAUGAUCUUACCAUGUGUGAUUUCCUUCUCUUAAGUACAAAUUUCUUAAAUCUCAUUCCUCUUUCCCCGCUUUCUUCCAACCAUGAAAAUUGCCUCUCUGUCUUCUUUUCAUUUGUGUGUUAAAGAAUAUUUAGUAAGGGCAGUACUAGUGAUAGGUUUGUAUCAAGGAUAAGUAAGCUUACAGAGAAUUUCCGACGAUACAAUAAAUUUUCUCAGAAGGCUGUAUAGCUGUAUAACACGGAGGGAAAAAAAAAAAAAGAAGGGAUUCAAGAGGAAAUCUCACUGAGGGAAAAGUGAAAGGCUUGUGAAACUGCUCUUCCUUUCACAAUAUUAAAUCAUAACCUGUUCCCUUAGGGUGGUGGAAGCCUGGAUGAGGUGAGGAUGUGGAUCGGAAACCAACAAGGGCAGCAAAGGUGGAAUGAGCCUGGAAGAGGUUCAUUUAGAAAUGGGUGUCUCAUACUGGGAAAAGAAGCUGGGGGAAAGAUAAGCAAGACACAUAGGCCACGAUCUAAGCAGCAAAUAUUCAGGGAAAUGCUAGUGUAGGGAAAUGGUUCAGAAGUAGAGAGCCUGGGGUUUAGAAGCAAGAACUCCCUUUAUCCAUUUCCUGGGAAUUCAACUAUGAUAGAAUAAACAAGCUAUAACAAAAAGUGCUGCAAACAAUGGUCUCUGAGCUCAUGCCUCAAUGGGACCAGCCCCAGCCAGUGGAGCUUCCAAGCCAAAGAGCCUUCUCCAUGGCUGGUUGUAAUACUGUGUCAGAAAACAAAGGUUAUGACAAUUUCAAUUCUGUGUAAAUGAGGUUCAAAUAAAGACUAAAUGUGUAUAUGUAUAUAUAUAUAUAUAUUGGUGGGUGUUUAGUUCAGCUUUAAAAAGUGGGCCAAUGGUCCCCUUUCAUGAAGUUACUAUAUUCCCUUUCUUUGAUCAAAAGUGAUUCCAGAAUUUGGGAAGAGGGAGGCUGAACCCAGGUGGAGAUUCUGCUUCAAAUCCUUCCUCCAGGUUGGCAGGUGUUACGGAUUGAAUUGUGUCCCCCAAAUAAUGUUCGUCAAAUUGGCUAGUCCAUGAUUCCCAGUAUUUUGUGAUUGUCCACCAUUUUGUCACCUGAUGUGAUUUUCCUAUGUGCUGUAAAUCCUACCUCUACAAUGUUAAUGAGGUGGGAUUAGUGGCAGUUACGUUAAUGAGGCAGGACUCAAUCUACAAGAUUAGAUUGUGUCUUAAAUUAAUCUCUUGAAAGAGAGAAGUAAGCAGAGAGACAGAGGACCUCAUACUAUCAAGAAAGAAGAGCCAGGAGCAGAGUGAGUCCUUUGGACCCUGGUUCCCUGGGCUGAGAACCUCCUAGACCAGGGGACGAUUGAUGACAAGGACCUUCCCAUAGAGCUGACAGAGAGAGAAAGCCUUACCCUGCAUCUGGUGCUCUGAAUUUGGACUUCUAGCAUCCUAGACUGUGAAAGAAUAAAUUUCUCUUUGUUAAAGCCAUCCACUUGUGGCAUUCCUGUUAUAGCAGCACUGGAUGACGAAGACAGCAGGUAUCGAUCUAUACUUCUUAUAUCAGGCUUAUUAACAUUUGCCAAACAAGUAGGUAUAAACUGCUUCUCAUGGGGGUAGGGAGGAUGGAAGGAGGAGCCUCAGGUAUUGUGAACACAGUAGCAUUAAAUAGACUUGGUUCAUAAAAAUACCAAGUUUGGAAGAGGAUGAGGGCCAAUAGGCUCUCUCACGCAUUGCUUGUGAUUAUCUUAUCAAGUUGAAUAUUCACAUAUCAUACAAACCAGUAAUUGCUCUUCAAGGCAUACACCCAAGAGAAACUCGUGCAAAUGUACAUUAGGAGACAGGUGCCAGAAUCUUCCGAGAACCAUUUUGCAUAACUAAGGCAAACAAAAGAACUGGAAACAGCCCAAACGGCCAUCACCAGGUAAUGAAUAAAUAAAUAAAUGGUGAUAGGCUCCAGGAAUUGAUGGAAUAUCAAUUGAGAUGUUUCAACAAACAGAUGUAGCACUGGAGGUGCUCACUCAUCUAUGCCAAGAAAUAUGGAAGACAGCUUCCUGGCCAACUGACUGGAAGAGAUCCAUAUUUAUGCCUAUUCCCAAGAAAGGUGAUCCAAAUGAAUGUGGAAAUUAUAGAACUGUAUCAUUAAUAUCACACGCAAGCAAAAUUUUGCUGAAGAUCAUUCAAAAACGGCUGCAACAGUAUAUCGACAGGGAACUGCCAGAAAUUCAGGCUGGUUUCAGAAGAGGACGUGGAACCAGGGAUAUCAUUGCUGAUGUCAGAUGGAUCCCAGCUGAAAGCAGAGAAUGCCAGAAGGGUGUUUACCUGAGUUUUAUUGACUAUGCAAAGGCGUUCGACUGUGUGGAUCAUAACAAACUAUGGAUAACAUUGCCAAGAAUGGGAAUUCCAAAACACUUAAUUGUGCUCAUGAGGAACCUUUACAUAGAUCAAGAGGCAGUUGUUCAGACAGAACAAGGGGAUGCUGAUUGGUUUAAAGUCAGGAAAGGUGUGCGCCAGGGUUACAUUCUUUCUCCAUGCCUAUUCAAUCUGUAUGCUGAGCAAAUAACUUGAGAACCUGAACUAUAUGAAGAAGAACGGGGCAUCAGGAUUGGAGGAAGACUCAUUAACAGCUUGCUCUAUGCAGAUGACACAACCUUGCUUGCUGAAAGUGAAGAGGCCUUGAAGCACUUACUAAUGAAGAUCAAAGACCACAGCCUUCAAUUAGGAUUGCACCUCAAGAUAAAGAAAACCAAAAUCCUCACAACUGGACCAAUGAGCAACAUCAUGAUAAAUGGAGAAAAGAUUGAAGUUGUCAAGGAUUUCAUUUUACUUGGAUCUACAAUCAACAGCCAUGGAAGCAGCAGUCAAGAAACCAAAAGACGCAUUGCAUUGGGUAAAUCUGCUGCAAAAGACCUCUUUAAAGUGUUCAAGAGCAAAGAUGUCACCUUGAAGACUAAGGUGCGCCUGACUCAAGCCAUGGUAUUUUCAAUGGCAUCACAUGCAUGUGAAAGCUGGACAAUGAAUAAGGAAGAUCAAAGAAGAAUUGAUGCCUUUGAAUUGUGUUGGCAAAGAACACUGAAUAUACCAUGGACUGCCAGAAGAACGAACAAAUCUGUCUUGGAAGAAGUACAACCAGAAUGCUCCUUAGAGGCAAGGAUGGCGAGACUGGGUCUUUGAUACUUUGGACAUGUUGUCAGGAGGGAUCAGUCUCUGGAAAAGGAUAUCGUGCUUGGGAGAGUGCAGGGUCAGCGGAAGAGAGGAAGACGGUCAACAAGGUGGAUUGACACAGUGGCUGCAACAAUGGGCUCAAGCAUAACAACAAUUGUGAGGACGGCUCAGGACCGGGCAGUGUUUCGUUCUCUUGUGCAUAGGGUCGCUAUGAUUCGGAACCAACUCGACAGCACGUAACAACAACAACAACAAUAGCCACACAAUGAAAAUAUUUCAUACACCAAUAGAAAUAUAUUUGCAACACUCUAAGUGAAAAGAAUAAGUCCCAAGUGACAUUGCUAUACAGUAAUGAUUUUUUAUGAUUUUUCCCCAAUCAAAGUGGUAUCCAAAGAUUUGUCUUCAAUAUCAUUGGCCCUAUCUCCCAUUGUUUGAAAUUUGCUCCUAAAACCUUCCAUGGCACUGUCUCUUCCUGAAAUCUUGUUGUUUAUCUUUUGGGUUUCUAAUUGCUGUUUUUUGUGUGAUUUCUAGUUGUUUGUAUUUUGACAUUGUGUUUCUGUAUUUUUUUUUCUUGAAUUUUGCCAUUGCUUUGUUUGCCUUUUCCAUGAUUUUGUCUGUAUUUUUUCCUCAUUUUUUCUGCAUUUUCCUUCAUCUCUUGGAAAAAAAAAAAAGUUGGGGAGCCCUAAAUACUAGAGCUUUGAAUUCCCUAUCAGGUAGUUCCAGUACCCUCACUUCUACUGAAAGGUCAUCUGGUAUUUUAUUUUGGACGCUUUCUAGAGUCAUCCUGUCCUGUUUUUGUUUAAUAUGUUUCAAUAUUAAUGUCGAAUAUCCUGUCUUCAGGACAUUCAGGAAUUUUUUCUUUGUUUAUUGGUUUUAGAUUUGUUUGCUUCUUCCUCCUUUUUUGUUUUAUUUGGUUAUGUCUCGGCAGGCGGGCUGGGCGUUCUUUGUUGUUUACUCAUCUGUGGGUAUGAUACUUCUCACCACCUUGUCUAGGCUGGCAGGGCUGUUCACUCAGCUAUGAUGCAGCAGGGUAGGUCCAGCUGAGGGGGAGUAAUGGGAAUGGGUUAUUUGUGGCAUGUACUGGGGCCAAGAGGGCAGGGCUGGGGGUCACACCGCAAGAUUCCAUGGCCCAUAUCAGUACUGCUCUAGGAUGCAGUGCUCAGCGUGUGGUGCAGUCAGGCAGGAGGCAAGAGGGAGGAUGUGAUAUGUGGAGCUAAGUGGUGUGGGAAAGAAGAGAGAGAAAUGGAAGCCAAACACAAAACAACAAAAUAAUAAUGAUAAUAAUAAAAUAAUAAGAAGAACAACAAAAAAUGCCCAGAGGGAGCUCACCAGUGUGGCAGUGCAGACUGGGGAAGCUGUGUGCCAGAAGGAGGUGAGACAGAGUGAGAGAGACAAAACAAAAAGAAGCCAAACAACAACAACAAUAAGUGGCACUGAAGGAACUGACCGGUGGGGGCAGGGCGGAUCCAAAUGGCAAGGAGCUGGUAUCUCUCUGGCUGAGCGACCCGUGACCCACCAGAAAGUGGUGGAGGGAAGAAGGGUGGGGCUGGGAAAGCACGUAUCCCUGGAUGCCGGGAGCGCUGUCUCCUCCUGGGAGCUCUGUGAAGUUGCCUUUCUGUACUCCCUGUCUACCACCGUUGGUGUCUGAGAGGUCCACGAUGGCAUGUCCAUGUGACUUUAGCUGAUAGGGGACCUCUACUCUGUAGUACUCCUCGUUCUUUGUUCUUUGUCCAUUUCCUACUCACUCCAUUUGGUGCUUGAUUGAGUUCUUUAUUCCUUCAUUUGAUGCUUAGGGUUCCAAGAUUGAUGAUUGUAACUGUUUUACUUAGUUUUUGGGGUCUUUGGGACUGUGUAGUGCUUCUAUCUAUAGCGUCAUGUUGGCUCUACCCAAUGGCUGAUUUUUCUGAAGUAAAUCCCCGGAGCUUCCUUCCAAGGUGCCUCUGGUAAACUCAAGCCUUCAACCUUUUGAUUAGCAGCCAAGUGCAUUAACCGUUUGUACCAAUCCAGGGACUACAAACUAAAGCAAAGAUACCUAUAAUUUUUAGAAAUACAUACAUAUACACGUAUGUGUGUGUGUAUAUAUAUAUUUAUGUACAUACAGUUAGGCAUCCCUUGCUUAAUGUCCAUAAUACGUUCUGUGAAAUGGAAGGUUAUGUGAUUCGGACAUUGCGGGAAAACCAUAUUAUAUAUAUGAGACAUGAGAUACACGUAUUGAGUGCGGGAAGCUGUUGCGUUUACUAUGUUCAGUUACGUCCAAUACACCCCAUUCUUUGACCAGGAUUUCUGAGCUCUAUUAUGACCUUAUGGGACCAUGAAUAUAUACGCAAUCAGAUCUUACCCGAAAAGACAUUACGCGGCACAUGACUGUCUGUAUAUGUAUUUAUAUGCUAAAACAGUAUAUGAAAAGGCAAUGGAUUGAUAUGAAAUCAGGUUUAGGAUACGGAUUAUAAUGGGUGGGAGAGAAGCAUAGAGGCUGAUGAUGUGAAUCAUUGGUGAUGUAUUAAUUCUAGUGGUGGAUGUUGGGCUCACAGGUGCUUCUUAUUAUUAAUAAACAAACAAGUAAAUAAAUACCGUGUCUUUUCCAUGACUGGUCAUAAUAGCGUCAUGAAACAAAGAUUAUGACAAUUUCAAUUUUGUGUAAAUGAGAUUAAAAUAAAGGAAAAAAAUAUUGGUAGGUGUUAUUUAAUUCAGUGGAAUGUUAGUAACUCUGCUAAUAACUUAGCUUUUAGACUUUAAUCUUAUUUCCCCUUCUCACUUUCUGUAAAAAGUGCCUAAUGUGAAUAACUGUCAGUUCCUGCUUUAGUUUUUACACUGGUGCUUUCUAAAAAGACUACUUUACCAUAAAGAUAUAAAUGGAAAGGUAAAUGUGGUAUGUGAACCAUUCUGAACCCCCCACAAACUCUUGGUUAAGGCACAGCUGGGUCCCUAGGGUCCCUAAGCAUAAAUAUGGAAGCAAGUUGGUGAGAGAAGAAAAUUAACUGAGCAGUGUUAGACACUUGGAGGAGUCCCUGGGUGGUGCAAAUGUUUAAUGUGCUCAGCGACUAACUGAAAGGUUGGUGGUUCAAGUCUACCCCAGAGACACUUCAAGGGAAAGACCCGGUGAUUUACUUCCAAAAAAUCAGCCAGCAAAAACCCUGUAGAGCACAGUUCUACUCUGACACACAUGGGGUCACAAUAAGUCAGAGUUGACUCAACAGCGACAGUUUUUUUUUUUUUUUUUUUGGACACUUGCAAGUAAUAAAACAGUUUCCAUGAUGCCAAUUCUUGAAGUUAAUUAAGUCCUGAAAGAGACUGUACCGUUUCCACUAAGACUAUGGACAAUUAUGGUAAGUUUCUAUAUUUGUUUUGAAGCACUAAAAUUCCACAAUACAGUAAAAUGUUUUGAUAAAAUAAUUUGUAAAUUAGAAGUUUUAUUAACAGCUGGUCAAGCCCAUUUGUGUGUAAGCAGAGCUCUGAGGAUAUUCAUUGGUUACAUAAUUACGGAUUUGCCCAGUUUAUAGUUCUCUCAUUUCUCCACUUGCCUUUUCUGCCUCCUCUUACUUCCCUCUUUACAGGUUCAUGUGCUUUGAUCUCAUCCUAGUCCAUCAGACUGGUGACCAAUUCACCAAUACUAAUUUUUUCCCCCUCUUACAGAAAUGCUGAGGUAUGUUCCUCAUGUGUUCAGAUGGUGUGGUUUUAUGUAAUAUGAUUUGCCAAGUUUUUGGUGGUUACCAUGUGAUCCCCUCCAGCAAUGAUUAAGUAUCCAGUGAUCUUGAGAAAAAUACCUCUUCAUUUAUAAAUAUCGACCCUAGUAGGAAAAGGGACCAUAAUUAUUAAAAUUUUAUGCAUUUAUAGCUCUUUACUCAUGGUAUAAAAAAAGAGGUCACUACGAGUAGGAAUCGACUUGACGGCAACAGGUUUUUUGGGGUUUUUUCUUUGACACUUCUUUUGUAAUAUAUUUGAAAUUAAUCUGAUAAUGUGAUAUUAAACACAUGCCAACUACUUCUGACUUCAUGAAGCAUACAAAAUAGCCCCCAAGAAUCACAGGUGUUUCUGAGUUUGUCACCAGAUUUUUUUAAACUUUCUCUGUACCUCUUAUAAUCUGAUGGUACAAAUGGUUAAUGAGUUGGGCUGCUAAAGAUUAGAAGUUUAAGUCCAACUGAGAGGUGCCUCAGAAGACAAGCCUGGUAAUCUGCUUCUAAAAAUCAACCAUUGAAAACCCUAUAGAGCACAGUUCUACCCUGGUACACAUGGGGUCCCCAUGAGUCAGAACUCAACGGCAACUGGUUUUUUAAUCUUUACUUGGUCACGGUACUAUAGUUUGCGCUCUCAAGAGUUUGAGCUUUAGACAUAUCAAUGUUGAAAUGAGAAGAACCAGGUCGUUAGCUAUGCUUAAAACGAAAUAAGCACAGACACAAACGUCUUCAUAUCGUACUUCUGUUUUUAGAAGGUGCUAGAUACAGAUGUAGGAAACCCUGGUGGUGUAGUGGUUAAGUGCUACAACUGUGAACCAAGAGGUCGGCAGUUCGAAUCCGCCAGGCGCUCCUUGGAAACUCAAUGGGGCAGUUCUACUCUGUCCUAUAGGGUCGUUAUGAGUUGGAAUCGACUCAAUGGCAGUGGGUUCGGUUUUUUUUUUUUUUUUUUGGUUUAGAUACAGGCGGGAAAUCCUGGUGGCAUAGAGGUUAAGAGCUACCGCUGCUAACUAUAAGGUCAGCAGUUGAAUCCACCAGGCGCUCCUUGGAAACUGUAUGGGGCAGUUCUACUCUGUCCUAUAGGGUCACUAUGAGUUGGAAUCGACUUGAUUGCAGUGUUUUUUUUUUUUUUUUUUUUUUCAGUUUAGAUACAGGUGGGAGGGAGCAGUACUGAGGAUUUUUCAAUAUUUGUGAAGGCUCAAUGGCUAGGAAGUAGAAAGCAAGAGUGGAGUAAAUUGAGUUCUGUUUAUUUACUAACAGUAGUAGUAGUGGCUAACUGUUAAGUCCUUUAUACUGUUUAUGUCAUCAAUAUUUGCAGAAAAUAAAAAGCAUACACUUGAACCAAAACUUCAACCCAAGAUUAUAUGAAAUUUGAAGGCUUACAGGUGCCUAAGAUGUUUUCUAUGAGGAAAGUGAAAAUCCUGGGUGGAAUUUGAUUUCUGCUUUUAGAGAGGACUAGACUUUUAACAAAUCUAGACAUAUGAGUGGGGAGGUGUGGAAAAGAAACAGGAGAAUUUUAGAAUUAAAAGACUUAGAGAUCUAGCUCUAAUCCAAGAGGAAGAAACUUAGACCUAGAGACCUAAGCUUCCAGCUGGUUCCAGAGUUUCCCAAGCCAAAUCCCCUCACGAUUUAAUGGUGUUUCUGUCACACUAAGCUGAAUAAAGAAUGAGUGGUGAGAAGGAAGGAGCCUAAGAAGACAGUACAGAAAUACCAUUUGGGCCAAUUUGGUAUUCAGACCAUUUCGAGCCUUAAAUCCGUGACAGAAUCUAAUGUCUGUAGCUGUGAGACCCCAAAUCUCACAGAGCCGAUGUCAAGCUGCUUGAAAGGCAAUUUUACCAGCGAGACCACAGAAUUUACUCAAAGGCCAGGGCACAGAACACAAUUACUAACAAUAAAUUAUGUAGGAGUGUGAGUAGGAGUCUCCACAUACUGAUGUUUUAAAAGACUUUACACUCUUAAAUACCUCUCAAUGGAGAAUUUUGCUGAAUUAAACAUAUAUACCCACCAAUGGUCUAUUAGUUUUUUGUACUGUGGUGACUUUAGUGUUGCUGUGAUGCUGGAAACUAUGCCACCAGUAUUUCAAAUACCAGCAGGGUCACCCAUGGUGGACAGGUUUCAGCAGAGCUUCCAGACUAAGCCAGACUAGGAAGAAAGACCUGGCAUUUUACUUCCAAAUAUUAGCCAAUGUAAACACUACAGAUCACAACAGAAUAUUGUCUAACACAGUGCAAAAAGAUGAGCCCCCAGGUUGAAAAGUGCCCAAAAUCUACAGUGGCCACAGCAAUGGACUCAAGCAUACCAAUGAUCAUGAAGAUGGAGCAGGACUGGGCAAUGUUUCGUUCUGUUUUAUAUGUGGGUUACCAUGAGUCAGAGCUGACUCGACACCAACUAUCAACAAUGAAACAUAUGGAGAACGGAUCACAAAACACUCUGAAGUAGGUUUGCAUGUCAGCAGAGGGAACAGAAGAUGUGCUUCCAUGACACAGUAAAAUAUACCUUCAAAGUAUAUGCUAGAGCAGUGGACACAGUGCAGCAGCAGCUGGCAGCCAAGCCUGAAGUGCUCACUAGCCCUUUUAGCAAAGUCUCUCAGCUUCAGUCAAAAAGUGGGGCUGAGGUGGCUGCGUCUGUGACCACCAGCGUGCUUUCUGGCAGCAGUAAUUUCCAUUACACCUGUAAAUGCCUAAAGUGUUCAUCGGAAGCAGCAUUUUUAAUACAAAUUGCCCUGAUUCAUACAUAGCUUAACAGACUGUAUGUAGCAUGUGAUAAAUGUAAACAAAGCCUUGAGGGUAUUUACAGGUGGGAAGAGAUUUUGUUUCCGGUUGUGGAUCCUCCAGCUUCUAGAAGGUAACUGGUGGGGAGGGGAGAGGGAGAUAAGGGGAAGCAGUGAUGCAUGCAAGGAGGAAAAUCUCUAAUACGUCAUUUUUCUAAAUAUUGGCAGUAACUUUCUUGGAACACUGUUUUAAAACUUUUCCCCACUCUUUUCUUCAACGUCUAAACUUUAACCAGUUCAUGAUCCAUGAGUUACAAUUUCUUUCACCUCUAGUUUCUCAGCACGAGUUCCUUCACUGAUCUCUUGCCUCCUCCAGACCUCUUUGACUUGACACGUCUUCAAAGAAAAGAAAUCAAUUGGUUUAACACCAGAUGGAUAGAUUCCUACUGCAGAGCAAGGACGAAUUCUCAGAGGGACUUCUUGCUAGACAAUGUGACCAGAGAUCAUGGGCUACCAUCGAAACUCAAGGUACUUCACUGUAUUUGUCAAACAUUUAAGGAAAGUUUUUCCACUCUUGUAAUUAUUUUCUUGGAGGUUGUGGGAAAGUCUCUCAUGUGUCAGACAAUAUAAGGCACUAGGAUACAGCCCAGGGGCGGGAAGAGAAUGAGAAGAGUGAAAUAAACACGGGGGAGAAGAUGGGCAAUAAUUUUGUCAGCUAAGUAUUGGAUUUAACCUUCUUGAAUAGCUAUAUUUAAUUAACAUUUCUUUUGAUCAUUUUCUCAAUAUUCAAACUUGCACCCAUGACGAAAUUUCCUUCAGCUUCAUAUCCUUCUCAUUCAUCUAAUUUAUUCAUUCAACCAUUGAGUACUUAACAUCUGGCAUUCUUCUGCCCAUUGAAACACUCUAGUAAACAAGAGUUUAUAUUCUAGUUGGAGUAGACAUUUAAUAAACAGGUAAGCAAACAAAGAGUAUAAUUUCACACACUCGUAGAUAAUGUAGACAGGGGCUCCAUUGAUGUAGGGCCUUUGGUAAAGAUUUUGGAUUUUAUUCUACUUUUAAUAGGUAUAAACAGGCAGCGAUGUUAUCAGAGUUAAGUUUUAAAAGGACGAUCUGGUUGCUGUGUGGAGAACGGACCGUAAGGGGGUGAAAGUAGAAGCUGGGAGACUAUUUCAGGAGGUUGUUGAUUUAGAAUGGAGCCUUGGUGGCACAGUGGUUAAGAGCUUGGCUGCUAGCCAAAAGCUUGGUAGUUUGAACCCACUUGGAAACCCUAUGGGGUAGUUCUACUCUGUCCUCUAGGGUUGCUAUGAGUCAGAAUCGACUUGACAGCAACGGGUUUGGUUUUUUUGUUUUAGAGUAUGUGUUGGAUAUAGAGACACCAAGUCUUAAUGGAUGGAGUACAAGGUGAAUUGAGGUUUGUGCAACAUGAAAAGAGGAAUCAAGCAUGAUUCCUGGCCUGGGCUUGAACAAUAGCAUAGGCAGAAUUCCUUCGCAGAGGAAUCCUCAGCCUAGUUGCUUCUUUUUGUUAUUAGUUGCCAUUAAGUCGGUUCCAACUCAUGGUGACCUUAUGUGUAGCAGAAUGAAACAUUGCCUGGUCCUGUACCAUCCUCGUGAUCACUGGUGUGUUUGAGAGCAUUGCUGUGGCUAUUGUGUUAAUCCAUCUCACUGAGUGUUUCUCUCAUUUCGGCUGACCCUCUACUUCCCAAACAUGUCCUUUUCUAGUGACUGAUCUUCCCUAAUAAUGUGUACAGAAUAAGAGUGCCGAAGUCUCCCCAUCCUCGCUUCUAAGGAACAUUCUGGUUGUAUUUCUUCUAAGACUCAUUUGUUCGUUCUUCUGGCAAGCCAUGAUGUACUGAAUAUUCUUUGCCAACACCACAAUUCAAAUAUACCAGUUCCUCUAUCUUCCUGUUUUGUCCAGCUGUCACAUGCAUAUUAGGCAAUUGAAACACCAUGGCUUGGGUCAGGCACAUCUUAGUCAUCAAAGUGACAUUUUGCUUUUUAAUUUGUCUUUUAUUUUGUGCACAUACACACAUGCUCAAAUAAUGAAGUGAUUACACGAUAAAAAAUUCAGUGUUAUUCGCGGAGAAAUAAACGAAUAUGCUCAAACCCUAUGUCUUCCAAAGUCAUGAAUCCAAUUAUAUAUUUGACAUUUCCACUUGGAUUUCUAUGAGACAUUUUAGACUUAACAUAUUCAAAUAGAAUUAUUUAAUCUACUCCUUGUCCUAAACCUUUCUGUCCCUAGUGCUCCCCAUCUCAGUAAAUGGUAUCUCCAUUCAUGCGGCUGCUCAAGCUAAAACUUGGUGGUCAGGCUUCUUCCCCACCUCAUUCAAUCCAUCAGCAAGCACUACCUUUCAAUGGUCCAAAAGUUAUCCAGGCCAUCCACUUAUAUUGUUUAUUUUAUUUAUUUUGUUGUUGUCGUUGAGAGUAUACACAGCAAAACAAACACCAAUUCAACAGUCUGUGCAUAUACCAUCGAUUACAUUCUUCAAGUUGUUUAACCAUUCUCACCUUCCUUUUCUGAGUUGUUCCUCCCCCAUUAAUGUAAAUUAACUGCCCCCUAAGGUUCCUAUCUAAUCUUUCAAGUUGCUGUUGUCAGUUUGAUCCCAUAUCUCUGAAAAGAGCAUCAUGCUAAAGGCAGAACUUUUUUACUAGUUAAGCUAAACUAUUGUUUGGUUUUAAGAAGACUUCAGGGGAUAUUUUUGGCUUAAGGUUUAAAUAUUAUCUUAGGGCAAUAGUUUCAGGGGUUCAUCUAACCUUCAUGGCUUCAGGAAGUUUGGAGUCUAUGAAAAUUUUAAGUUCUGUUCUGCUUUUUCCCCCUUUUGAUCAGGAUUUCUCUAUAGAAUCUUUGAUCAAAACAUUCAAUAAUGGUGGCUGGGCUCCAUUCAGUUAUUCCGGUCUUAUGGUAAAGGAUGCAGUUGUUCAAGGAGGCAAUCAGCCACACAUUCCAUUUCCUUCUUCUAUUCCUGACAUGCUUUCUUCCUCUGUUGCUCCAGGUGAAUAGAAACCAAUGGUCAAGGCUUGGGAUGGCCAUUUGCAAGCUUUUAAGACCCCAGGCACUAGGCAAUGAACUAGGUGGUAGAACAGAAGCACUACACAAGUUAUUAGGCCAAUUAACUGGAUAUCCUAUGAAAGCAGGACCCUAAAGCUCCAAACCAAGAAACCAAAUCCCAUGAGGGUUUGGGUUGUACAUAAGCGCCUCAGCAGCGACUCUCUCUCUCUUUUGUCUUAGACUGGGCUCCCUAGAGAAGCAAAACCAGUAAAGCUUAUAAACACACACACACACACCCAAACCCACACACACACAUAUAUAUAUAGAGAGAGAGAGAGAUUUAUAUUAAGAAAAUGGCUCAUGCGGUUGUAGAGGUUAGAAUAUCCCAAGUCCGUGGGUCAGGCUAGAGGCUUCUGAUUCACAAUGCUGCAGGGGCUGGCAAACCCAAGAUCAGCAAGUCAGACAGCAGGGCUCUGGCUCACAGGCAGUGAAAUCUGACCAAGCCCAAGAUCGUCAGGCAAGACAGCAGGUAAGUUUCUAGUUCAAGUCUCAAGAACCAGAGGUCAGACAAACAGGGGUCAGUUGCAGGAUCCAGUAUAAACAAAAGCCUAAGAGCCUUGCCAAAAGGUCCACCUAUAUUGGAUGCAGGCCGUACCCACAAGGAAACUCCCUUUCAACUGAUCGGCUACUCACAGCAGAUCCCAUCAUGGAGGUGAUCACAUCAUAUCAAAUCUCAUCAUGGAGGUGAUCAUAUCAUUAUACGACUGCCACACUACAUCAUAACAGCCAAACCACUGAGAAUCAUGGCCCAGCCAAGUUGACACACUACCUUAACCAUCACAGUCAUUGUUGUAAAUAUGGCUGUCACACAACUUUUGCCAAUUCGACUUUUUACGGGUGUACAACUUAUUGACAGCAAUUGCAAUAAUCGGCUGUACAACCCUACCCUUAAUCAAUGCAAUAUUUCCAUCACUGUUAACUCCCCUUCCCUGCCUUCCCCUCGUAACCAUUAAUAAACUUUAGUCUCUAUACCUUUGCCUUCUCUUGUCUUUUUAUAUACGCGAGGUCAUACAACACUUAUCCUUUUGUGAUUGACAUCUUUCACCCAGCAUAAUGUCUUCCAGCUGCAUCCAUACUGUAGCACGUAUCAAGACUUUAUUUCUCCUACUGACUGAGUAGUAUUCCAUCAUAUGUUUGUACCACAUUUUGUUUAUCCAUUCAUCUGUUGAUGGGCAUUUAGGUUGUUUCCACCUUUUACCUAUUGUAAAUAGUGCUACAGUUUCUGUUCGAGUCUCUGCUUUCAAGUCUUUUGAGCAUGUACCUAGGAGUGGAAUAGCUGGGCCGCAUGGUAGUUCUAUUUUAGUUUUUUUGAGGAACCGUCACAAUGUUUUUCACAAUGGCUGUACCAUUUUGCAUUCCCACCAGCAAUGGGUAAGGGUUCCAAUUUCUCCUCAUCCUCACCAACAUUUAUUAUUUUCUGUUUUUUUUUUAACCUUAGCCACUCUAGUGAGAGUGAAAUGGUAUCUCAUUGUGGUUUUAAUUUGCAUCUCUCUGAUAGCUAAUGACUCUGAGCAUCUUUCCAUGUGUCUCGUAGCCAUUGAAUGUCCUCUUUCGCGAAAUGUCUUUUCAAACCCUUUGCCCAUUUUAUGAUUGGGUUGUCUCUUUCUUGUUAAGCUGUCAAAGUUUUAUACGUAUUUUGGUUAUUAGAUUCUUGCUAGAUAUAUGGUUUCCGAAGAUAUUCUCCUAGUCAGUAGCUUGUCUUUUUAUUUUUAAAGCAUUCACUUUUCUUCACUGCUGUCACCCUAGUGCAAGUCUUGGACUAAGACAUCAACCUCCUCCUGUCUGAUCUAUCUUGACUUCCUACAGCCUGCUAGUCAUUCUCCACACAUCAUUCUGGAGCAUCUUUUAAAAUUACAGUAAGACUUCAUCUCACUUAGUUCGGACAUCAUGAGAAGGGACUAAUCGCUGGAGAAGGAAAUCAUGCUUGGUAAAGUAGAGGGAUAGGGAAAAAGAGGGAGACCAUCAAUUAGAUGGGUUGACACAGUGGCUGCAACAAUGGGCUCGAAAAUAGCAAUGAUUAUGAGGACGAUGCAGGCAAUAUUUUGCUCUGUUAUACAUAAGGCUGCUAUAAGUCAGAGUUAACUCAAGACACCUAACAACAACAACGACUCAACUGCCUAGACUCCUCCAAUGGCUUCCUUUCCAUGGCACUUAGAAUACAGUCUGAUCUCCUUGCCUUGUCCUCUAAGGUUCUAGGAGAUCUGGCUAGGCCGGUCGCUCUAGGCUCAUCUUCUGCUACUCUUCUCCAGCCUCGUUCUGCUCCUGCCGAACUUUCUGCUCCUUGAACAUGUCAAGCUUAGUACUGCCACACAGCUUCCCUUCUUCCUGUUCCCUCUGCCUGAAAUGCCCUUUCCCUAGACCUUCACGUCGCUGGUUCCUUCUCACUAUUCAGGUCUGAGGUGCUCAGUUUGGACAUCCCUGACUAUACUCUCUAAAGAGACACCCCGUCCCAAAACACUCUCUACAGCAUUCCCCUGUUUGCAUUUCUUUCAUAAUGCUUAUCCUUAACUGAAAUGAUCAUCUUACUGUAUUUGAUUUCUUCUUCAUUGUCUCUGUCCUCCCUGAAAUGCUCACCACUAUAUCCAGGAUGCCGACAACAAUGUUAUAGCACAUAGCUGGUGCUCAGUAAGAGUUUGUUGAAUGCAUACAUUCUCAUUUGUGCAAAAUUUUGACAGGAAAGCAUUGGCUGAAAGCCUGGUAUUAAAGAAAUGACAGCGUAUGUCACAUCCAGCAACCAAUAAGACAUGUCAUAGUAUUCCUUAGCAUUUUAAAACUUAGAAAUGCUAAAAGAGCUCUCAGAGUAUUUUGGGAAGAAGACAGUAAAGAAGGGAGGCCAAAAGACCAAAUUAGCACACCGUCUGUAAAUACACCUGUGAUGUAAAGUAUGCUAAUCCACAUACAGCCUAGAACAUUGUCUGGACCAUAUUAGACCCUCGAUAAAUAUUUGUUGAAUAAAUAAAUAAUAGGUGAAUGAAUGAAUACAUAUGAACUGAAAGCCUGCAGAUGAUUAGACCAAAGGUGAAAACAAAUGAUUAAAUUUUAACCAAUGGGGAUAUUUUUAUUCCAAAAUAAGAGUUCUGCUGAGGGAGAGAGGGGAUCCAGUUUACUUGCAGCAACUCCAUGGUAAACAGAACUAGCUCGGGCACCCUAACAAUAGAAGCUGAGGACUGGCCCCUUCCUACAUCUCCCUGGGUGUGGGGCAGGUCCCAGCAAGCUAGCUCCUCCUCCCGGCUUAGAGAGAGGUGAGUGCCUCACUCUGCCACCUUACCGGCUCAUUGUUACUGUUGUUAGGUGCUGGCGAGUUGCUUCCAGCUCAGAGCAACACUACACACAAAAACCAAAACCAGCUCAUUAGAACACGCAAGUAAGUCAGAGGACCAACAAAUAGGUAUUUUCCCCAACUUCUCAAAUAAUUAGCAAAUAUCCAAUGUCAUCAUUUUGCUUUAGCUUUAUAUUUCUUGACCCUUUUAUCCUCAUCAGAUGCUAUAAACUAAGCUAAAUUAACCAAGGGGAGGGGAAAAUGUUUUUAUUAAAAUGACUUUUUAGACUAAUACCUGUUUUAUUUUUUUUUUUUAAGUAGCCACUUUGGAGAUAAAAUCCAGUUGAAUUUGCUGGACUUUCUGUUUUUAAGAAAUGUUAAGCCGAAAUGAUAAGGGAAACAGAUACUUUUGUAUUUAAUGGAUAGGAACAAAUUAAAAAACAGCAAAAGAACAAAUUAAAAUACUGAAAAAGAGCAAAUUAAAAUACCAUAUUUAAAAAAUAUAUAUAUUUAAAUAUCAAAAAAGUUUUCACAAGAAAAUUAACAUUCUGUACAAGUGAUUAAUAAUAUUUAAGAGUAAUCAUCAUUAAUAUAAUGCCACUCAUGGUAAUGAUAUGUCCCAAUAGAUUCUUACCAAGCCACCACCAAUGACAGCUAUUUUUCUCCUUUGAGUGUCAGAUGAAUCCAUAACUGCCGAGGUGUUCCUCAUAAACGUUGCCGCUUCUGUCACUUAGGGAACUGGCUGUCCUCCACACUGAUUCUCUCAACCUUUAUACUGCUUAGAGCCUCCAGCUUUUCAGAGUGAAGGAAGCAGUGUUUGGCUGAUUUCCCUUGAAUUUAGAGGAUAGCAUUUAACCCCUUAGUAGCCUACGGUAGAAUCAACUCAGCUUAAGAAAAAAGGUAACAUUGCAAUAAGCAAACUUUGAAAAAGUCAGCCAAGUGAAGACACUUACUCUCUAUCUUAUGUAUAACACAUGGAUUUUUUUAAACACAACUUUAUGGCUUUUUUUUUUUUUUUCUUCUUUUUUUAAGGCGUGUAUUCUCAGUUUCGUUUUCAUUCAUGAUUAACCAUGAAUGAAACUUCCCUUGUGUGAAGUCCCAAAGAAUGUUUAUACUUCUCUUACAGAAUAAGGUGGCAUGGUUUCACCUACCUACAGAUUAUUCUUGUUACUAAGACCAGUCAGGAAUUUCUCCAAAAGGUUUCUCAUGGGUUGUCUUUGAUAGACUCUACUAGGGAAAUUUUUUUUUAAUUGUGUAAUUGAUCAUAUCUUCUUUUUAAAAAAUACCUUAAAAUUAAGAUCGUCUUUUUAUUAAAAGAUACCACUAAGCCAAAACCCAAACCCAGUGCCAUCGAGUCGAUUCCAACUCGUAGCGACCCUAUAGGACAGAGUAGAGCUGCCCCAUAGAGUUUCCAAAGAGCGCCUGGCGGAUUCGAACUGCUGAUCCUUUGGUUAGCAGCCGUAGCACUUAACCACUAGGCCACCAUGGUUUCCAAAGACACCACUAAGAAAGUGAAAAGGCAGGUCACAGAAUGGAAGAAGUACUAGAAAACUUGGAAUCUAAUUUGUACAUCACCAGUAAAAGUGGUCGUAGAGGGUCAGACAGAAAGAGGAAGACCCUCAACGAGAUGGAUUGACACGGUGGCUGCUCAAGAUUAUGAGGCUGGCACACGACUUUUUUUUUUUACAACUAGGCAGUGUUUCUUCCGUUGUACACAGGGUUGCUAUGAACUGGAACGGACUCCACGGCACCUAACAACGACAAUAAAGAUGGUUAACACUAAACAACAACAAUAAAGAUGGUUAACACUACGCUUCUGUAAACUUCCCCGGCUUCAUGUUAUCUAUCCAGCUUUUUUGUCUUCUUUCACCCACUUUUAAUGUAUAUUAUUUGGUUUUUGUGCAUAUCUGUGAGCUACUUUUCCCCUGGAAAAUGGUGUAGUGUACGAUAAAAUAAGGGCAAACGUGAAGACUCUUCACCUUAGGAGAGCACGGAGAAUUCAGAAUGGUUUUCCACGCUUGGGAACCAGAGUUAAACAUUGUUCAAUAGUGCCCCCUUGUGGAUCAGUAUGGUUAGCAGUUGCUAGAAAACUUUGUUAAGUAUUUUGAUUUAUUUAUUUUUUGAACAGGUUAACACGCUUGGCUGCUAAGCAAAAUGUUGGAGGCUGGCGUACACCCAGCCUCAGAAGAAAGACCUGGCGAUGUACUUCAGAAAAAUCAGCCAUUGAAAACGUCGCAGGGUACAGUUCUACUCUGACACACGGGGUUGCCAUCAGUUGGAAUGACUGGACAACAACUGAAAACCAAAAAGAACACUGAAGAAAAGCAAGAGCUGUAGAGAAGUGGGAAAUAUUUUGCUGACAUGAAAGCAAGUACUUCAAACCAUAUUUUGAUGUAUUAUUAAUAAUGAUACCAGAGAUACAACCAUAAGUAAAGUUGCACAUUUUUAAAUUACAAGAUUCAGUUAUAAAACACGAUUUUGGUAUGUCCGAGAAUAUUGAAUAUGCCAUGGACUGUCAAAAGAAUGAACAAAUCUGUCUUGAAGAAGUACAACCUGAAUGCUCCUUAGAGGCAAGAAUGGCGAGACUUCGUCUCACAUACCUCGGACAUGUUAUCAGGAAGGACCAAUCCCUGGAGAAGGACACCACGUUUGGUAGAAUGUCAGUGAAAGAGAGAAAGACUCUCAACGAGAAGGACUGACGUAGUGGCUGCAACAAUGCGCUCAAGCAUAACAAUGAUUGUGAAGAUGGUGCAGGACCGAGCAGUGUUUGUUUCUGUUGUACGUAGGGUUGCUAUGAGUCAGAACUGACUUGAUGGCAGCCAACAAGAACAACACUAUCUUAGAUUUUACCAGGUACUCUUUUUCUGUACCAGAAUCCCAUCCAAGAUACCCACUACAUUUCGUUGUCAUGUCUCUUUAGGCUCCUCUUGGCUGUGACGAUUUUUCAGACUGUCCUUAUUUUUGAUGACCUUGACUGUUUUGAGGAAAGCUGAUCGGGUAUUUUGUAGAAUGUCACUCAAAUGGGAUUACUCUAAUGUUUUUCUAAUGAUUGGGGUUAUCGGUUUUGGAGAGGAAAGCCACAGAGAUGAAGUGUCAUCAUCAUCACAUGAGAUCAAGAGCACCUACUGUCAAUACGACUUAUUUAUUGUUAAUGCUAAUCUUGAUCACCUGACUGAAAGAGUGUUUAUCAGGUUUCUCCAGGUUCUCUUUGGAAGAAAGUCACUAAGCACAGCUGAUCCUUAAGGAAUGGGGAGUUAUGCUUCACCUCCUUGAAUGCAUGAGUAUCUCCAUAAAUUGGAAUUUUUCUGCAUGGGACAUUUAUUUAUUUAUUAACUAGUUUAUUUUUAAUUUACUGACAUCAGUAUAGACUUAUGGGUAUUUAUUUUAUAAUUUAGGUAAUAAUCCAGUACUAAGCAACAACAAAAAAUA